GGCCGGGCACUCUGGAGGACUGCCGGCGACAAGCCGGAGGAAGGUGGGAUGACGUCAAGUCAUCAUCGGCCCUUAUGUCCGAGGGCGACACACGUGCUACAAUGGCCGGCACAGGCGGGAAGCGGAGGGCGACCCUGAGCGGAUCCCUUGAAAGCCGGUCCCAGUUCGGAUUGCAGUCUGCAACUCGACUGCAUGAAGUUGGAAUCGCUAGUAAUCGCGGAUCAGCCAAGCCGCGGUGAAUACGUUCCCGGGCCUU
rnacentral:rRNA from 1 species